AAUGGUGCCGCUGUUCCUCCCGGCGGCAGGUGAAAGGCUCGCCGAUCCGCUGCUGUCCUUGGAUCGUUGUUGCUGUUUGGGGUCCCGAUGAGGUUCGAGUUGCGUCACGCCGCCUUCUUCCUCCGUUCCGGUCCCGAUUCAGAUGUCAAAGCAGGCGGGGAGUCGAGCCUUGUUUCUUUUCCGCCUCUGCCGCCAUGGUUCUGCCGCCAUCUCCACCGUUUGUGGAAGAUCAGCGAUUCAGCGCCGUUGUUUCGUUCGUGACGCUGCUGCUGUUGUCACGCAAUUUCCGCCGAGGCAGCAGGAGAUGCCGCUGAAAUCUGUCCUCUGCUCAAGAACCGGCUCAAGCCUCACUCUCUCCCUUUUUCUAUUGAAUUAUGCUCCACUGGCGAUCUAUUGAGUAAGAAGGGAGAAGGAUUUGGUGGGGAGCAAAAGAUAAUGGAGUUGGUGGAGUGGGAUGUUUGGUGAGGUGGGGUUGGUGUUGGUGCUGAUACUUUGAGUGUGGUGGGGAAAUUGGUGGAGUGGAGAAGUGGGGAGUAAAGACGUGUACAUCAUUAGCAAAAGAUUGAAAUAAUAACUGUAUUUAAACUCUAAUUGAUUGAAGAGCUUUUGUUUUUGUAAUAUACUAAACGAUUUUCCCCAAGCUGGUAACUAGCCUGUAAUCUGUGAACUGUAAAUAAAUACUGGCUUCGAUUUUCAAUCAUCGCAUUUCU